UUCCAUGGUUACGCUAUCCUAUCCUACCGGUGCAUUUUAGCCUUUUCCGUAGUUUACACUAUCCUAACCUACUGGUGCACGUUAGUCUGUCCCUGUUCAAUUAUCAUUUUUCAUUCACAGCCCCUGCAGAGAUGCACGUCUAUAAAAAAAAGCCAGAAAAAACCAGAAAACUCCUCUCUUAUGAGAGUCGAAGGCAGUGCUUGUCAUUUCCAUGGAAAUCUUCACAGAAAACCCUAGAUCUUUCAAGAUGGAUUGGAAAUCGCCGCAGGCUUCCAAGCUCAAAUCCUCCAAGAAGCUCUUCGAAUUCCAAGCCCAGUCAUAGCACUUCUACUACUUAUACAAGACAGUCCUUUUUCUCUCUCUCUCAUCGAUACCUUGAAAGAAGAAAAAGAAAAGAAAAAAGCAAAAAAAAAAAUCAAAAUCGAAAGCGCUCGUAUUUCGAUCAGACAGAGGCGAGCAAUUCAAUCUCUCUUUUCCUCAUUUUGGAUCUUCGAUUGGAGGAAUCGAAUCGAAGAAGAAGCUCGAUCUUACAGGUGUCACUCCCUUCCUUUUCUCUUGGGUUACCAGCCUACUAUAUUCUAGCUUCAUCUGAGUCUUCUUCUAAUUUAUCACGUUAGGAUGGUGUAAGGUGAAUGUUAACUUGGCUGGACUGCCUGCACUAGUGUUGCCAUGUGGAUUGAUUGAAGGUGGACCCGCCGGCCUUCCUGUUGGACUUCAAAUGAUUGGUGUAACCUUUGAUGAGGUAUUGAACUGCCUUUCUUGUUUCUGAGAACAUGCUGUUUCUGGUUCAAUGACUGGGAAUUGAAGACCAAUCAUGAGAAAGGAAAAGUAGGAAACGAUGGGGAGGGAGGAAGGGAAGAGGAGAAUGUUAAGAAACAGAGAGAUUGCGAUGCAUGGAGGUCAGGGAAGGUUUUGUUUUGGGGGAACAAUGUGAAGGAAGGAGACUAUUGGGUGAGAGUGGAUACUGUAGAAUGUGGAGGCAAAUAGAUAAAGGAUGGUAGAGGCGGAAAUUUAGGAUACAUAGGAGAGAGAAUAGAUAAAGGAUGGUGAGAGUGGAUGCAAGUCAGUUCAAUAGUGCAUCCGUGCGCAGAGACUUAACUAAUUUGAAGUUCGAAUGGUUUAACUAAUUUGAAGUUCGAUUGGUUUUUUUAGAGUGACUUACUAUACCACUCCAUUGAUGUUUGCAUGUUUGAAAAUAUAUUCUCUUCAUUCAAUAAGCGUAUGUUACUUUAAGUGGUUUCAGCCAUCU